rnacentral:ncRNA from 1 species
AGAACCUGCCCUUGGGAGGGGAACAAAAACUGGAAACGGUUGCUAAUACCCCGUAGGCUGAGGAGCAAAAGGAGAAAUCCGCCCAAGGAGGGGCUCGCGUCUGAUUAGCUAGUUGGUGAGGCAAUAGCUUACCAAGGCGAUGAUCAGUAGCUGGUCCCAGAGGAUGAUCAGCCACACUGGGACUGAGACACGGCCCAGACUCCUACGGGAGGCAGCAGUGGGGAAUUUUCCGCAAUGGGCGAAAGCCUGACGGAGCAAUGCCGCGUGGAGGUGGAAGGCCUACGGGUCGUCAACUUCUUUUCUCGGA